CAAAUACUCCGUCCAUCCUGGAUUACUUGUCGCAGAAAUGGAUAGAAAUAGAUGUAUCUAGAACUAAAAAUAAAUCUAGGUACAUUUAUUUUUGUGACAAGCAACUCCGGAUGGAGGGAGUAGUUG
rfam:Triticum urartu cultivar G1812 contig298693, whole genome shotgun sequence.